CCGAGUUUGCAACUCCCAAACCCCUGUGAACAUACCACUUGUUGCCUCGGCGGAUCAGCCCGCUCCCGGUAAAACGGGACGGCCCGCCCAGAGGACCCCUAAAACUCUGUUUCUAUAUGUAACUUCUGAGUAAAAACCAUAAAUAAAUCAA
rnacentral:misc_RNA from 1 species